AUGGCGGGGAUCCUGGCGUGGGCGGCCGACGUGGUCGGCGGCGCCGGCGACAGCGACGACGAGGCCGCCGCCGAGCGCGAGCGCGCCGCGGCCAUGACCCCGGAGCAGCGGCUCCGCGCCGCCGAUCUGGACGCGCGGGCAUCGUCGCUGCGGCGCGCGAUCCAGGACCUGCGCGCCCGCGUGCCCCCGCCGAACGUGGCGCAGCGGCUGCCGCACCUGCACGCCCACUCGCUCGCCUCCUCUGCCGCCCUCGCACUCCAGCUCAACGCCCACUCCUCCACCAAAGAGCAGGCACUGCAUAGAGAGGUGAAAAUUCAAGAGGAAAAUACCGCCUAUGAGAAGGCGAUAUCCGAUUGCCGCCAGAAAAUUCAGGAGAAGCAGAUGGAGGCUGCUGUGCUCCAGAGUAAUUUGAAGGAAAUGGAAAUUGCAGAGCUGGAUUUAAAAGCAAAGGUUGACAAUGCUAUCAUGGAGCAAGAGGCUGCUCAACAUAAAGCAUCAAUGGCUGCUUCGGAAGCUACUGGAAAUGCUCUGCUAGAAGCUGAAUCGUUGAUGAAUCUCAAGUCUAAAGACUUGGAAGAGAAGAAGGGGGAGUUGAAAUUAUUGGAAGACAAGAUACAAAGAUUGGAGAAAGUAUGGUCCUCGGUUGAAGAAGAAUCUUUGAAAAAUCCAAGUCCUGCCCAGAGGGAGAAGGUACUGGAGAAACAAUUACAUAGCCUCAUUGAACAGUUGACAGCUAAACAAGCUCAAGCUGAAAGGCUCAUCACUGAUAUACAUGCCAAAGAAAAGGAUCUGGAAAGGUUGAACAGUAUACAGAGAAAUCUUCACAGCGGCUCCAGCGAAGCAGGUGCAGCACGGAACCGGUUCGGCGGAGGGCUUCUGAGCGGGGAUGAAGAUUCUGGCUCCAAAGCUGCCCGGAGACCCGGCCAAUCCGGUGGUUUUAGAACAGAAGGCCAGAAAAGGCUCAUGAUUCUUAGGUCCGCUUUUGUUCUCUAUAUCUUGGUACUGCACGUUGUCGUCUUCAUAAAGAUAUCAGUUUCGAACUAG
rnacentral:rRNA from 1 species